UAAAAAUAAAUAUCAAUUAAAAAUAAAUAUCAAUUAAAAAUAAAUAUCAAAUAAAAAUAAAUAUCAAAUAAAAAUAAAUAUCAAACAAAAAUAAAUAUUAAAUAAAAAUAAAUAUAAAAUAAAAAUUAAAAUAAAUAAAUAUCAAAUAAAAAUAAAUAUCAAAUAAAAAUAAAUAUCAAAUAAAAUAAAAAUAAAUAAAUAUCAAAUAAAUAUCAAAUAAAAAUAAAAAAUAAAAAUAAAAAAUCCCAUUUUGGGAUUCACAAACUCCAGGGGAGGGGAGGAAGAUCCAAAAUUCCCAAAGAAGAAAAAAAUUCCCAAAGGAAAAAAAAAAUUCCCAAAGAAUAAAAAAUUCCCAAAGGAAAAAAAAAAUUCCCAAAGAAUAAAAAAUUCCCAAAGAAAAAAAUUCCCAAAGAAAAAAAUUCCCCAAAGAAUAAAAAAUUCCCAAAAAAAUUCCCGAAGGAAAAAAUUCCCAAAGGAAAAAAUUCCCGAAGGUUUUCCGUGGACAAGGAUUUUAAAAAAAUAUCUUUGAAACCAUCUGAGCUUAAAAAUAGACGCGAGUGAAGCUUAAAAUCCCACCCGGAGACGCCGGGAGAGCUCCGGACGAGUCCCUGGAGCGGCUCCGGAGCUUCCCCCGCUUCUGGAUGGUUCUGGAAGCCUUGGGGUGGAUCCAGAGGGGUCCUGGCAGCGGUUCUGGAGGUUCCUGGUGGUUCUGGAGAAGUUCCAGAGGUUCUGGAUGCCUUGGGAUGGAUCCAGAGAGGUCCUGGGAGAAGUUCCAGAGGUUCUGGAGAAGUUCUGGAGGUUCUGGAGAAGUUCCAGAGGGGUCCUGGGAGAAGUUCCGAAGGUUCCUGAUGGUUCUGGAGAAGUUCCGGAGGUUCUGGAGAAGUUCUGGAGGUUCUGGAGAAGUUCUGGAGGUUCUGGAGGCCAUGGGAUGGAUCCAGAGAGGUCCUGGGAGAAAUUCCAGAGGUUCUGGAGAAGUUCUGGAGGUUCUGGAGAAGUUCUGGAGGUUCUGGAGGCCGUGGGAUGGAUCCAGAGGGGUCCUGGCAGCGGUUCUGGAGGUUCCUGGUGGUUCUGGAGAAGUUCUGGAGGUUCUGGAGAAGUUCCG
rnacentral:lncRNA from 1 species